rnacentral:ncRNA from 1 species
AAUUUUACUCAAAGACAGCCAGUGACAUACAAGGACACACUGGAAAUCAGCUGACCGCUCCAACCCCCGGGAGAACAAAGAUAAGGGGGAUACCCAGCAUAUCUGGGUUUUUAAUUUCGGCGAAGGGGGAUUGGCAAAUAGUCCAUGUGUCUCACUGAAGGCACUAAAUAAAAGCCACAGCCGUCCCCCCCAGCCAUCAGUACCACUUAAAGGCCACCGGGCCACAAGUAACCGGAAAGUCCGGCCAUCAUUUUAGUGGCCGCAACAUAUAUAUAUAUAGUCAAAUGCAUCGUCAUCUAAUUAGUGACGCGCAUGAAUGGAUCAACGAGAUUCCUACUGCCCCUAUCUACCAUCUAGCAAAGCCACAGCUAAGGCACUAACUUGCA